rnacentral:rRNA from 1 species
AGUUGUAGAAUCACUGGUGAAUAAGGGGUGGGCAAGUUCUGGUGUCAGCCGCCGCGGUAAAACCAGCACCUCGAGUGGUCAGGAGGUUUAUUGGGCCUAAAGCAUCCGUAGCCGGUUGCAUAAGUUUUCGGUUAAAUCUAUGCGCUUAACGUAUAGGCCGCCGAAAAUACUGUGCAGCUAGGGAGUGGGAGAGGUACACGGUACUCGAUAGGAAGGGGUAAAAUCCUUUGAUCUAUUGAUGACCACCUGUGGCGAAGGCGGUGUACCAGAACACGUUCGACGGUGAGGGAUGAAAGCUGGGGGAGCAAACCGGAUUAGAUACCCGGGUAGUCCCAGCUGUAAACGAUGCAGACUCGGUGAUGCAUUGGCUUGUGGCCAAUGCAGUGCCGCAGGGAAGCCGUUAAGUCUGCCGCCUGGGAAGUACGUACGCAAGUAUGAAACUUAAAGGAAUUGGCGGGGGAGCACCACAAGGGGUGAAGCCUGCGGUUCAAUUGGAGUCAACGCCAGAAAUCUUACCUGGGGAGACAGCAGAAUGAAGGUCAAGCUGAAGACUUUACCAGACACGCUGAGAGGUGGUGCAUGGCCGUCGCCAGCUCGUGCCGUGAGAUGUCCUGUUAAGUCAGGUAACGAGCGAGACCCCUGCGUCUAGUUGCUACCAUUACUCUCUGGAGCAGUGGAGCGAAUUAGACGGGCCGCCACAGUUAAUGUGGAGGAAGGAAGGGGCCACGGCAGGUCAGUAUGCCCCGAAACCCUAGGGCUACACGCGGGCUGCAAUGGUAUUGACAAUGUGUUCCGAAUCCGAAAGGAGGAGGCAAUCAUCAAACAAUAUCUCAGUUAUGACUGAGGGC